CUACGGCUGGGAGUGCUAAGAGACUUUGUGGGGAAGACUUCCCCCAAAGGAAAUGCAUAAAGACAGGAUCGGAACAGAGGGAACAAAAUAGAAAUUUGUUCCUUCAAGCAUUACUGCUGAAAAUAUGUCAAUUUCACCCAGACAGAGUCUUCUGUUAAUGGCCAGAGACAUAGAAUAGGGACAACAGAACAUAAAAUUACAAUCCCAUUGCAUACAGUCCAGCAAACGAUGCUGGAUCGAUCGCACUGAUAUCAGUUUCCAUGGAUGGGUCAGUCCUUACGCCAAGGAGUGCUCUGCUGUCUAAAUCCAGUGCCGCGCCUCUAAGAGUUUGAAAGAUAUCAACAACAUAAUAAGGGUGUUGAAAGGAGUUCCCUGUGUCACACGUCGCUGUUUAACCAUCCUACAUACAUACUGAAGCUGGAACUCUAGUACUAUGUUGAAUAGAAAUGGUGAAAGCAAAUAUUCUCGUUUUGAUUCUCAUCUUAGGGAGUUUCAAAAAGAUUGAAAGUUUUCAAUUUUUCCCCAUUGCAGUAGCCAAGAUAUGGAAACAACUCAAAUGUCCAGCAGCAGAUGAGUGGGUGAAGCCACACAGCGGAAUAUUAUUCAGCCUUAACAAAGAAAUCCUUCCAUUUGUGACAAUCAUGAUGUGAAGUGAAAUAAGCCCAUCAAAAAAGGACAAAUUCUGCAUGAUUCCACUUACAUGAGGUAUUCAGAAUAUUCAAACUCAGGGGGUGAGGGAGGGACAGACUGGGAGUUUGGGGUUAGCAGAUACAAGUGACUACAUAAUAAAACAGGUAAGCAACAAGGUCCUACC
ensembl:lncRNA